CCUAACACCCUUUUACUCUUAUUCUUUUCUCUUCUCAACUCAAACCAGAGAAGAAAUAAUCCAAACAACCCCUAAGUCAACAUACAAGCUUCAACCGACCAUAGAAGUUGGCCCUUCGACUUCUAGUGACGUCCGAGUACAACGCCACCCCGAUAAACGCCACGGCAACAAGUGCAAACCUCUUCAGGGGACUUAACUCCAAGUUGAGAUCGAA